rnacentral:lncRNA from 1 species
GGCAUGUGCUACCACACCUAGCUAAUUUUUGUAUUUUUUGUAGAGAUGGGGUUUCUCCAUGUUGCCCAGAAUGGUCUCAAACUCCUGGCCUCAAGUGAUCCGCCCUCGGCCUCCCAAAGUGCAAGGAUUACAAAUUUGAGCCACCAUGCCCAGCCUACAGUUGGCCUUUGGGGAGGGAAUAAGCUAGAGCCAUCAUUAAAAUUCCCUUUGUGGAGAAAUUUAUGCUUCGUGAAAAAAAGAAAGUAAAAGGAUGGAAAAAAUGUGCAACAAGUGUAAGAAAGCUUCAUGGUUAUAUUAAUAUAAGACAAAGUAACUUCAAGACAAAGAGAAUUACCCAAAGAAAGACGGCCAUUAGAUAAUAUAAAAUAAACGAUUCACUAGGGACAUGACAAUCCUAAAUAUGUAUGCACCUAACAACAGAGCAAAACAGUUCAUGAGUAAAAACUGACAGCAUUAUAUAGAGAAAUAGACAUAUCCACAAUCGUAGUCAGAUAUUUUAACACCAGUCUCUCAGCAACUGAUAGAACAAAUAGACAAAAAAUAUCGGCUGGCUCACGCCUGUAAUCCCAGCACUUUGGGAGACCAAGGCGGGCGAAUCAUGAGGUCAGGAAUUCAAGACCAGCCUGGCCAACAUGGUGAAACCCUGCCUGUACUAAAAAUACAAAAAAAUUAGCUGGGCGUAGUGGCCGGCGCCUGUAAUCCCACCUACUCAGGAGGCUGAGGCAGGAGAAUCGCUUGAACCCGGGAGGUGGAGGUUGCAGUGAGCCAAGAUCAACCCACUGCACUCCAGCCCAGGCGACAGAGUGAGACUCUAUCUCAAAAUAAAUAAAUAAAUAAAUAAAUCUAUAAGGAUAUAAUGGAGAUCUGAAAUUUACUGUCAACCAACUGCAUCUAAUUACAGAGCAGUAUACCUAACAACAGCAGAAUAGACACAUUCCUUUCAAGGGCACAUAGAAUGGUCACCAAGAUAGAGCAUAUUCAGGGAGAUACGGUAAGUCUUAAAAAUUUUUUUCAUCAACUUUUAUUUUAAGUUCCAGGGUACAUAUGCAGGAUGUGCAGGCUGGUUACAGAGGUCAACAUGUGCCAUGGUGAUUUGCUGCACAGAUCUUCCCAUCACCUAGGUAUUAAGCCCCGCAUUAGCUGUUCUUCCUGAUGCGCGCCCUUCCCAGCCCCCCCGACAGGCCCCAGUGUGUGUUGUUCCCCUCCCUGGGUCAAUGUGUUCUCAUUGUUCAACUCCCACUCAUAAGUGAAAACAUGCCAUGUUUGGUUUUUUGUUCCUGCAUUAGUUUGCUGAGGAUAAUGGCUUUGAAAUCUAAAGUAUGCUCUCUGAUCACGGUGAAAUUAAAUCAUAAAUCAACAAAAUAGAAAAAAAUUCCCACAUUGUAGUAAGUCAACUAAUACUUCCAUGCAACUCAUGGAUCAAAGGAGAAAUUAAAUGAUAAAUUAGAUUUACAAAUAAAUAAAAUGCUGUACUUAUGUUGCUAUUUCCUGAUUUUACAUUUUAUUUUUUUAUUUAUUUUUAAUUUUUAAUUUUUUUUUUUGAGACAGGGUCUCACUCUGUCACCUAGGCUGGAGUACAGUGGCAUGAUCUUGCCUCAGUGGAACCUCUGUCUCCUGGGUUCAAGCAAUUCUCCUACCUCAGCCUCCUAAGUGGCUGGGAUUACAGGUGGGCAUCACCAUGCCUGGCUCAUCUUUGUAUUUUUAGUAGAGACAGGGUUUCACCAUGUUGGCCAGGCUGGUCUCAAACUCCUGACCUCAGGUGAUCUGCCUGCCUUGGCCUCCCAAAGUGCUGGGAUUACAAGUGUGAGCCACCACACCUGGCCUGAUGUUACAUUUUAAAUAUUACCAAUUGACUGGCAAAUAUUGAAGAUGAGGAUUUAACUGUCAUAUAGGCACACACACAUUUAUCCUCUUUCCAUCCUCCCAACAAAGUUUUAGCAAGUUUUGCUUAAUUUACAUUUGGUGUUUUCAUUAAAAUGACUAAAUAAACAUUGUUCUCUGCUGAGUGAGGUACUGUACUAUGAUAACAUAUCCUCUGUUGUACAUUGUUUUGCUUUUCUUGUCUCCGCCCACCGCUUCCCUCUCUGUCUCACUCUCUUUCCAAAUACCAAUGAAGGCAAUGUAAGGAUAUAAUCAUGAAGAGGGCCUUCACCACGAACUAUGCUUUGCUCUGAUCUUGGCCCUCUAGCAUCCAGAACUGUGAAAAAUAAGUUGUUUAAGCCAUUAUGUCUACGGCAUUCUAUUAUACCAGCCCCAAACCACUGACACGGUGUCUUAAAUCUUUAUGUGUUUGAGGCCGGGCGCGGUGGCUCAUGCCUGUAAUCCCAGCACUUUCGGAAGCUGAGACGGAGGAUCAUUUGAGGUCAGGAGUUCAAGACCAGCCUGACCAACACAGUGAAACCCCGUUUCUACCAAAACCACAAAAAUUAGCUGGGUGUGGUGGCAGGCGCCUGUAGUCCCAGCUACCUGGAGGCAGAGGUUACAGUGAACCGAGAUUGUGCCACUGCACUCCAGCCUGGGCGACAGACCGUGUCUCAAAACAACAACAACAACAACAACAACAACAACAAAAAACAACAUUCAUGAUGUGAGGUAUUUUAUUAUCUUUGAUUAUGUGUUGGAUAUUAAAUUUUUUCUUUAAAAUUUUCUUAUUUUUAAAAAUUUCUUGUUUCCAGCAGGGCGCAGUGGCUCACGCCCCAGCACUUUGGGAGGCCGAGGUGGGUGGAUCACCUGAGGUCAGGAGUUUGAGACCAGCCUGGCCAACAUGGUGAAACCCCGUCUCUACUAAAAAUACAAAAAUUAACCAAGUGUGCUACUAAAAAUAUAAAAAUUAGCUGGGCGUGGUAGUGGGCACCUGUAGUCCCAGCUACUC